GGGCAUGACGGCGUGCUUACACAUGCAGUCGAACGAUGAUCCGGUGCUUGCACCGGGGAUUAGUGGCGAACGGGUGAGUAACACGUGAGUAACCUGCCCUUGACUCUGGGAUAAGCCUGGGAAACCGGGUCUAAUACUGGAUAUGACUGCCGGCCGCAUGGUCUGGUGGUGGAAAGCUUUAUUGCGGUUUUGGAUGGACUCGCGGCCUAUCAGCUUGUUGGCGGGGUAAUGGCCCACCAAGGCGACGACGGGUAGCCGGCCUGAGAGGGUGACCGGCCACACUGGGACUGAGACACGGCCCAGACUCCUACGGGAGGCAGCAGUGGGGAAUAUUGCACAAUGGGCGCAAGCCUGAUGCAGCGACGCCGCGUGAGGGAUGAAGGCCUUCGGGUUGUAAACCUCUUUCAGUAGGGAAGAAGCGAAAGUGACGGUACCUGCAGAAGAAGCGCCGGCUAACUACGUGCCAGCAGCCGCGGUAAUACGUAGGGCGCAAGCGUUAUCCGGAAUUAUUGGGCGUAAAGAGCUCGUAGGCGGUUUGUCGCGUCUGCCGUGAAAGUCCGGGGCUUAACUCCGGAUCUGCGGUGGGUACGGGCAGACUAGAGUGCAGUAGGGGAGACUGGAAUUCCUGGUGUAGCGGUGAAAUGCGCAGAUAUCAGGAGGAACACCGAUGGCGAAGGCAGGUCUCUGGGCUGUAACUGACGCUGAGGAGCGAAAGCAUGGGGAGCGAACAGGAUUAGAUACCCUGGUAGUCCAUGCCGUAAACGUUGGGCACUAGGUGUGGGGGACAUUCCACGUUUUCCGCGCCGUAGCUAACGCAUUAAGUGCCCCGCCUGGGGAGUACGGCCGCAAGGCUAAAACUCAAAGGAAUUGACGGGGGCCCGCACAAGCGGCGGAGCAUGCGGAUUAAUUCGAUGCAACGCGAAGAACCUUACCAAGGCUUGACAUGAACC
rnacentral:rRNA from 1 species